CUCCCGUGGCCCCAGAAAUCAAGGAUGGGUGAGACCUCGUGUGCAAACUGAAAGGCGACCCAUACUUGGUUUCAGGGGCUUCGAGAA
rnacentral:pre_miRNA from 15 species